AGAAUCGUUCCGUCAGUCGGGUCUCGGCCGCCGUAAACGUUAAUACGACAGCGCACAAGCUCAUCGUUUCGGCUCGGAAGCACCGAGCUUCCUCGCGGUACGUUCGUCGUUCCACCGUCCUACCAGUUACCUCUCUACCAUUUCACGAACCAAACAACCCUCUUAUAAUCCCUCGAUCCAUCCCUGUGCCAGCAAACAUCGCCAAUUUCCAACUAAGUUCAAGUUGUCAAAUCCGUGUUGACCCCAGGUGUCGUCAAAAACGUCUGGACCAGUGUCUGCGUGUCUGUGUCGGGUUGUAGACCCAGCUUCCGGUUGCACCAGGUGCCCUGCGUCAGCAUCGCCGCGGUUUACUAUCCGUGCACCCCUUCUGCGUGCAAAGUGGGGUGAAAGGACGCGGUAGGCGGCUAUAUAGGCACUCAGAAAAGCGUAAUAGAAACCCCUAUCAGACACACAGACAGCUAAACCUACCCUCAAACCAAGCCAAACCACUCCAAUCCUUCUCAAACUCCUUUUUAUCAACUUCUGUACCCGAUUUCUCGCCGAUGUAGUGCGUGAUCGUAGCGGAAAUCCGCGUAGUCGACCAGUGUGGCAUUUCUGUGACCAGAUGUACUGGACAGGCAUGUGUCCCCUGGGACUACGCGUUCUCGUAACCUGGUGAAGUAGCCGGAAGAAAAACAGGCCCGAGGCAGCCAGUAAGCCAGCAGAAAAAUGGAUCUGUUCGAUUCGAAAGAGGGUUGCGCGGCCGUGUGGUUUGCUACCUGUUGUCUGCUGCCCACAGCCGCAAACUUUUCCGCGCUAACGUGCCUGGUGCGUGACGCGACCCAUCGCCAACCGCUCUCUUCCUCUUGUCCGCCGAUUUUCCACAGUCAUUUCCGGCCUAGGGGUGUCUGCACGCCACGAGGGUUGAAUUUUUGGAUUCAAGAACCGAGCACAUGCUUUCCUGUCGUUAGCGACGAGGGCUACAAGUCCUUUCACAAUCGACAAUCAGUUGUUCUGUGUUCCUCUGUACGAGAACACAGCAGCCAUCUUCAGAAACUAGUCCAGGUCAUCAUCCUCCACCGAUCGUCGCUUUCUACGCAUAUUUCGUAACUCUGUGCCAAACUAGUCGAAAUAGAACGCCCUACUCUAGAGGAUCUUCAAACAGAUUGCUUUAGCAAAGUAUCUGACGGAAAGUUUCAAAGGUGAUCUGAUGAGAAGUCAAAUAAGUCAUUCAACUAAAGGGAUCUAGAUACCGAAAGCAAAGAAAGGGAAAGAAAGAGCACAGUGAAGCAAGCAGACUGAAAGCUGAACUGUUGAAUUAGCUGAAGAGCUCUAUAGUAAAGAGGAGCAACGAUUAAUGAAUGGUUGGCGUGAAAAGGAUGAGCUUGGGAAUCGAUAUCUAGCGUGUGACGUCUAAUUGCUCCAACCGACUCAGGCUCCUCCACCCCAACAGGUAUUUCCUGUUCUUUCGUCGAUAAAAGAGGAUAACUGUAGGGGUGAGUGGUAUUCGACGUGUAUUCGGUGUUAGAAGAUAGUUAGGGAGCCUCUUCAUUCGAUCCUCGUGGUGUUUGUGCUAGCUGAGGCCAUUUUCGAUGAGGCACAGCUAGGUCUGUCUUCACUUUGUGUUGUGUGUUCGUAGAUACAGGAUUCUAUGUGCUAAUUGGUGUCCUAGUUCACGCGCGAGGGAUCAUACAAUUUUCUUGCAUCUUACAAAUCACUAUCUGUGAGGAAGAGUAGCAGUUAGAGGAAUAUUUGGUGUCCUAUGUGGACGUGAAGGAAUUUAAGAAGAUUGUUUUACAUGAAGUUUAGUCUCUCUGGAAGCCAAUGUUCCUGCACUAUGUUCGAUAAAUGAGAAUCAGAUGAUUAAAGAUCGAUCUUGGAGAAAAUCUAGAAGAGCUGAUCUUUGGGAACGUCCAGGACAUUCAGAUUGGUGUACUGAAAGAAGAAGACAAUUUCGAGGAGUCAUAGAAGCUGUACAAUAUGUUGAUCAGAACGGAAUCACUGAAAUUUUGUACGUGACUUGAGAACAAAGGCCUAUAAUUUAAAUCUCCGUCUUCAACUUUCAUACUUCGAGUUCUCGCCUUAAUCGUUUGAUAAAAAAUUAUCCGGUUACCGGAGAAGCUUGUUGGAUAAUCGUUAAGGAAACCACUGACAAUUUUGUCACGUAGGGAGAUUCAAACUUUCACGAAAGGUUUAAAUGCUUCUAUUAACUUGACGAUAGCCCCUAAGGAUCUUCAAAGAAUCACCAGGAGGAAGGAAUCCUGUUUACACACUUGAAUUAUCCAUAGAAUCUCCUUAUUAACCCUAAUCCAGAGUGGGCUGAUAUGGAACUAUAUGAAUUUCCCAGGGAGAAAAUUUGUCGCUUGGCGGUGAAAUGUGAAAAUUAUCUAAGAUUACUAGCCUGAAAGUACGCGCGGAGGUGGGUAAGACAGCCUAAACCUUUAAUUUUUAAAACAAUCCAAAGUUUGAUACUCCUAUCAGGCAUUUGGGAGAUUUAACAGAACCUAGAUCCAUCAGAGCACGUGGAUUCGGUUUAAUCUCAGGCUUUUAUUGUUACUAAGUUGAAGCUCCAAUGUGUUAGGUUUCUACAAGAUCAAGGACAACCUAGAUCUAAUUUUGUGAAUCUAGAAAGAACAAAGGAAUUGAUAUCAGAUCAUUUGGACUGGGUCUGCUGUCAGAUUGACUGAAGGUUAAAUUUAACACAGCCCAUUCUGAUAGAGAAGAAACGAGAAAUCACUUUCUCUAGAUGUCAGAAAUUUCGAAGGAAUCAAGAUCUAUUUUCCUAGCUUCUAAGAGAGCAUAGAAACCAGCAUUGGACUACCUGAACCAGAUUCAGUCUCAAAUGUCUGAAGUUCAAACCGAACUUAGGCUAUUAUCGUGACAACACGAGGAAUCCUCUGUGCCAGGUGUCCAGAUGUCCAAAAGAAAAUCAAGAUUUACUAUUGAAAUCCUAGGAAACUCUAGAAAAGCAAAGGAAUAAACAUUGGAUCACCUAAACUAGUCUACACUCGAGUUUCUAACACUUGAAUUAGAACUAAUUGCGACAAAAUGAAAGGUUCGAUUUCUUGGACCUUUAAAAGCCUCAAAAGCACCUAAAUCAACUCUUAUAAAUCCCCAGAGAGCACCCAAUAUUACGCCAUCUGGACCAGGUCUAAUCCCAGUUCCCAGAGCGACAGGACGAUGUAGCCCAUUGAAAACGAACUAAAAAUCGUUUGAUAUCAAUCAAAUAAGUGGAAAGGAGUCAUUGAAGAGCCUGGUACAGCCGGCCCUGGAUGUUUUGACGCUGAGUGGCGCUAGGGUGUCGAGGUGGGGGCCAGGUGUUCUUGCUGCCUGCCGUACGCCUGUGGCGGCGGAGGUAGGGGUGGUGUAACUAUCUCGGGGGCCACCCCCGAGGCCAAGAAGGGCUCCACCGGCCGCAAGUGUCGCAAGUGCCGC